AGCCCAUCCUUCUUCAGGAGCCCACAGACUUCCUUGGCCCCUGGAGUGGUGAAAGAUUACUUCAAUGCAGAGGAAAAAUCCUUUCUGCGUCCAGGCAACUAAAGAAG
rnacentral:lncRNA from 1 species